AUUUUUUAUCUCUUGCCACCAAAAUCAAAUAUCAAUGUCACAAAUUUUCUUCCCUGUAGAAAAAACUAAACGAGGGCCAAUUUUACAAUGUUACUAAAAAUACAACUUAGCCUAACUCCCUAAUCUAAGAAGAUUAAGUUAAAGUGCCAAAAAAAAAUGGUUUUGAGUACUAAAACAGUACAACGACUGAAGUGUAAUGGCUUUGGACUCGCCUCCACUUUGUUGAUUGAAAGGCUCACCUCCACUUCUCCUGUAAAUCUUUCCUCUCGGACCAAAUCCACGUCACGAAAAUUGAUAUAACUAGGGCAACUAUGGUAAGGAGAAGCAAAGCAUAAUUGAAAUCAUCGGUGAGAGAGUCGUAUGUCUUUGAAGGAGCAAGCCGUGUGAAAAAGAGAUCAACUCCGUGGGCAAAGAUGAGGGUGGUUGACUCUAGCUUUGCUGGUAUAGCUAUUAUGCUUCUAAGGCCUUCCACUUUAAGGGCGUGUGUGACGAAAGCCUGUGGCAUGAUUGGCAAUGUAUCAGUAAGAGGCAUAAUCCCUUCCUCCUUUUCAGCUUGAGUAGGGUUCAGUGAUCGACGAGGAUCAAGAAAACGCUUGUCAAGUGCCAAAACCUGAUCACCAAUUGUGCCAAUAAGCAGUUGUUUGGAAGUGAUGCCUUUUGCUGUAGAGGUAACUGCUACUGCUUUCACACUGUGUGUGAAGAAGUAAGAUUGAGACUUGGUCAUGAUUUCAGGACGCGAGUAGGAAGAGACAGGCGCACUAAGAUUAUGCUUUCCAAGAACAAGCUUCAGGACAUCUUUGUUGUCCGCGCGAGACUGGUCGUAGAUCUCAACAACAGACAUCUCAUAUCUGUGUGCACGCAGGUUGAAGUAGUGAUAGACGACCCAAUUUUCACUAAAUACUGCAUGUACAGGUCCCUGGCAGCCAUGAUGAGACAUACGGAGCAGCACUCGGCCAGUUAUUGUGUCAACAAGAUAAACAAAAAGCCAGGAAUCAUCAGGGAUCACUGAUCCAAUGUCACCCAUUGCUUUAGGAGUAACAGUGGCCAGAAACAACAAAUUCUUAGAUAUAUAUUUAUACAAUACAUCCUGGUCAGCGUUAACUUUAGCUUGCGUGUGAACAACCUCACUAAAUUUUCUGGUUGAAGUUGCAAUGAUCUUUUCUGAAUCUGAGGGGAAUAUAACAGACCAAAGGUCACUGGAUUCAAAACAGUAGUCAUCAGCUAUCUCCUCUUUGCAAUUUUUCUUCACCACAUGCCCCUUUAAGAGAUUAUUGUUUAUAUCAACUGAAUACCAAUAUAUGUUUCCCAACUCCUUUUGAAAAAUGUCAACUGCCUCAGGAGUUCUAGGGUACAGGUGGCCGUACCCCUCAGAAUCUAUUAUUAGAUGUAGACGCUGCUCAGUUGAAUCAGUAAAUGGCAGAGGAAUAAUUUGCGUAAUGGAAUGAACAGGAGCUAAGUAAUUAAGCUCCUCUCCUUUGUAUGCAUCAACAAAGGAGAGAAUACCAGACGCAUCUGAAUUAUGUCCACAUGUUCCAACUACAAGGACUGAUGGGUUCUCAUCUAAUGCAUGAUGAUGCGGCACCUGCCACUGAUGUAACUUGAUCCCCCUUGGACUUUCACAAGUUCCUGAUUUAUGGAAAGCAUUCAGUAGUCGAGACCAAACAAUUCGGCCAUCUCCUGUGUGAAGUGCAAAAAGUUUCCCUGCUCGUGUAAGUACAAUGAGUAGCUUCCUAAAUCCAUUGUGGUCUCGCGUCAUCUUACUUUUCUCAGCACUUUGUAACCUUAUUCUCUGAACUGCUGCUACAUCAUCAGGAGUUGCAAGCAUUAAAGUUGCUUUUAGUUUCAGCAAAUGCCCCUUAAGCCACUCAAAGAGGUUGUGCUCCACUUUUGCAACAGAGACACCAUCCUUUUGUACAGGCAACUCUGAGGUUGUUACAUCUAUAAUAGAUGCAAGAGCAUCUUCUCUAUUCCAGACAACGGCACCUUGUUGUAACAACAAUAGGGAAUGGUCUUCCAUGACAAUCAAUGCCCUAAAUCCAUAAGUUCGGUCUGUUCGGACAUAGUUGUUGAUGAAGACCUUGUGCACAAGUCCCCUUUGUUGGUCAAAUUCAAUACUUUCCUUGAGAAAAUGGCUCUUCCAAUCAUUACUAGACUUGAUAGUAAGUUGAAUUUUAGCACCAUCUUGCUGAAUCAGCGCAAAAGCGGUCUGGCCUUCAGCAAAAGACAAAGAAUCACUUACAGCUUCAACAUGAGGGACUGUGUCAACUACCUCCAGUGUGCCUUCAUCUUUCAAUUUAACAAACAACAAAGAUCGGUCAAUUUUAAUGGCAACCAUUCCUGCAAGUUUGGAAGGUAAUAAUACUGCUUCUCCUGAGUAACCCUGAAGAUCAGAAAUCUGGAACUCUUGAAAUUUAAUUUCUCCACCAACAAAGCUUAUAGAGACUAAACUUGACUUUGAU
rnacentral:misc_RNA from 1 species